rnacentral:lncRNA from 1 species
CCCGCAGAACUUUUCUGUUUUUUUUUUGCCCGCCUGAAAUACAGAAGCUCCAAAUGGGCCGGCCCAUUCCUUGCUGCCUUCAGCGAAGGCUCGUGAACUUUUUUCCAAAUCCAUGGAAUUUUCUUUUGAAAAUCCGUGAACUUGUUCUCAAAAUAGUAGAACUUUUUCUAAAUCCUUGAACCUUUUUUUCAAAAUUAAUGAAAAAAAAAUCUUUUGAAAAUCUGGUUCGCAAGGUUCAUUUUUUCGUUUGUUAUUUCCUACUAGGAUGGCCACCGGUUUUUAUAUACUUUAUAAAAUAAUUUGGGCAUUAAAAAUUACAGGAUUUGAAAACAAUAUGCAAAUUUGAAAAAAAGUUUGGCAAUUUCAAAAAAAGAUUCGCGAAUUUAACAAAAAACAGAAAAUAAAAAUAAAAAUAAAAAAGAAAAAGAAAGAAAAGUAAGAAAAAAAAGGAGGAAAAAGGGAGCAAGUGAACACAACACAUGUAGUGUCCUGGUGGUUUGUUGCAUCGAUCAGCAACAAGUGGUGUUCUGUUGGAGCCACCCCCGCACGCUAAUUUUUUGUGUUUUAACAAAAAAUAACUAAAUCGGGCCGGUCCAACGAGGAGCAGGGUGUGCGCCCUUUGGGAUUUUUGUUUUUGAACGCAAAAAAAAGUGGGCCGGCCCAACACACGAAUCUCGGUUGACAUUUGACAGAGUUUGAUUUAGACCGGGAUUACAUAGUUUAGAAUGCAAUCGACCGGGAUUUCGAUUUAAGGAUCUAUUCCGCCCGACCUAUAUAAAUUCAAGGGUUUAAAAUGGACCUUUUCCCUUGUUCCAUACCUAUGGCACGGGCUAUCCAAUAUGAUGGUGUCUCGUGUGGCUUUGCACCAAAUAGGUUCACGUUUACUUGCAAAUUCCCACAUUAUUAGUUUAGUGAACUGCCAUUGCUAUACCAAAUAUUCAUCAGAUGGAGUUAUAUAUUUGCGACAUUAUAAUUCUACAGUUUUUGUGGAUAUUUUUAUAAUUUUUCAUUAAACCGGACGAGCGCGGCAACACGGGCCUUCAUGUUCUAGUAAUGAAGGACAACAGGAAGAGGAUGCAACUCGUCUAGCAGGUUUAGUAAAUGUUUUCGAAAACACUAACGCCCACACGUGUGACUACAUUGCAACUAGCCCACACGCCUGAAUCGCCGUCCAGUUAAGCUUGUACGAAUCUUGACACACUGAGGCAGUUGUCACGUGCCACGUAGCACAAGGCCGAUGUGUGGGUGUUGAAGAGGUCGCCCACACGCCCCACAACACACGGUUGCGGGCUACAUUGUGUGGGUGAACUAGUUUCUGCCCACACAGCCACCACCUAGUCCACGCGCGUGUGGGCGAACUACUUUUCACCUACACGACAGUUGUACGUUAUUGGAUGGCAACUGCAGUUGCACGUACAUGGCAACUAGGUAAACACACAUGGCAACUAUGAUUCGUUUACUAGACGGCAACUGCAGUUGCGCGUACAUGGCAAUCAGGCAACUGUGAUUAACCAUACGUGACAACUAGGUAAACACACAUGGCAACUAUUGUUUGACCAUAUGUGGCAAGUAGUUAAUCACACACGACAACUAUGGUUUGAAACACGCUGCAACUACCAUAAAUUAAACAUGGCAACCAUAUAGUUAACCAAAACAGAGAGAGUUGCCAUGCUUUUACAACUAUAUUUGCCAUCCCGGAUAACUACAUCUGCCAUCCCGGAUGGCAAAUAAAUCGUCAUCCCGCGGGUACCUAAUGUAGCUGCGCCAGAAUGUGUGGGCAUAUUUGCUUUGUGCCACACGCACGGAGUGGGGAUGAGUAGUACUUGUUGGGCGUGUGACACAAAGUAGUUGCGCCCACACGUGUGGACAAUUCUACUGUUCGCCCACACACAUCUCGUGUGGGCUGCCCCUGCUCAUGCCACACAUGGUGUGUGGGCGAAUGCUUAUUAUGCCACAUGUGUGGUGAAUAUCGGCGUUCAAUGUUUUUGGUGUUGGUGCUGAUGCGUGUAAAUAAGAAUAUCAGGAAAUAGCAUGCAACACAUGGGACAGAAGUUAAUAGCUUGGGCCAUCUGAACAUUGCAUAUUUAUGUUCUCAAACUUGUAGAGCUGAGUCUACCCUCAAAAAAAAAUAGCUGAGUCAGGUCAAGUCCAGUUUAACUGAACCUUAACUGACAAACCAAAAUUUCGGUGCUCGAACCAAACCUACGUGCACGCGUGCGGUUGACCAAUUGAGUCCUAAAAAAGUGGAUCAAUCGAAAAGACGCACGCACGUCCCUUGAGUGAACUGACGCGCGUGGCUUCGAGGUCAUCCACACCGCGCGUGGAGGCGUCGUCUCCUGCGCCGACAUCCUCGCGCUCGCGGCGGGCGACGAAACGUUUCUGAUGCGUGCCGGCUGGCCAAACAUAGCCGGCGCGACUCGACCACGGCGAGCCAGUCCCUCGCCAACUAUAACCUUCCCACGGUGGGCUCCAGCCUCCCCACGCUCAUCUCCAUGCUCGCCAGGCAUGAUGGCGCUGUCCGGCGCGCACACCAUCGUACGUACUUACAGUGAUUCCGGUUUCGGAUUGGAGUCGGACUCCGUUUUCGUCUACCCUCCCAACCCCCCAUCAAUAAAUUGCAGCGAGAGCUCACGAACCAACAGCCAAACCAGAAGCGACGGGAAAGAAAAGAACAAGGCAAGAGAGACACACCCGAUCGAGAGCUAAUUCCCAAACCCGGCCGCUGCUCCGUUCCGCGUCAAUCCAUCGGCGACGUCUUGGAUCUACCUGUCGGGAUCGCCAUGAUGAACCCGGAGAUGAUGCGGGUGGCGGAGGAGCAGAUGCGACGCAUACCCGCCGGCGACCUCGCCAGGAUGCAGCGGCAGCUCAUGUCCAACCCGGACCUGCUGAAGCUCGCAACCGAGAGAAUGAAGAACAUGACAGCCGAGGACUUCAAGCUCGCCGCCGAGCGCCUGAACCACGCGAGGCCAGAGGAGAUGCUCGACAUGACCGAGAAAAUCGCCAAGGCCAAGCCCGAGGAGCUCGCCGCCAUGAAGGCGCAAGCCGACGAUCAUGCCUCGUACGCGAUGUCCGCCGCCAAGAUGCUGAAGCGGCAGGGGAACCAGCUCCAUGGCCGCGGGCAGUACGCCGACGCCGCCGCCAAGUACAAGCUCGCCAGGGAUAGCGUGAAGAACAGCGUGCCGUCGGCGGCCGGGCGCGCUCUGCAGCUGCAGUGCAGCGUCAAUCUGAUGGCCUGUUACCUGAAGCUAGGCGAGUUCGAGGAGUGCGUCAACGAAGGCUCGGAGGUUCUAAGCUAUGACUCGGGCACUGCCAAGGCGUACUAUCGAAGGGGUCAGGCGUACAAAGAGCUGGGAAACCUCCAGGCUGCCGUUGCUGACUUGAGUAAAGCCCGUGAGAUUUCUCCGGACGAUGAAACUGUCGCUCAAGCUCUGACAGAGGUGCAAGAAAAACUUUCAACCGAAGGCGGAGCGGCAGCAAACCAGCCGAAGGAAGUUGUUAUUGAAGAAGUUGUAGAAGAAGAUGUUAGUUCUGAUCUGUCAAGCGCACAAAAGAAUUCUUCUUCUUCUACUGCUACACAACCACAGGACGGAGCACAAAACUCGACACAACCUGAUUCUUCAGAAAGCUUGGUAAAUAUGUCUCGGGCUGCCUCUUCAUCAAGCAGAACAAUCCCUGUUGCUCCAGAUUUUGGAUCCAAUAUGCCAGCAAUUUCACCUGACAUGGUUAGUAUGGCAAACCCUGCUAUGUGGGAGAUGUUUACCUCCAUGGUGGAGAACAUGAGUCCUGAUGAGAUGGCAAACAUGAGUGAGCUGUUCGGUAUCAAGAUGUCCAAGGAGGAUGCUGCCAACGCUCAACAGGCUAUGUUUUCAUUCUCUCCACAAGAUUUAGAGAAAAUGAUGAAAUGGAUCGGCAGAGCGCAGCGAGGAGUCGAAGCAGCAAAGAAGACGAAGGACUGGCUCUUGGGCAGGAAAGGCUUCAUCUUUGCUAUUGUCAUGCUGAUCUUGGCGUUCAUCCUCCAUCGGCUUGGAUUCAUCGGGUAGCUGAUGAUGGCCUACACAUCCGAGAAUCGGCAACAAACAAUAAUACUCCGCUCUUUUUCCUGGGAUGACAACAAUGUGGAAGCAAUAGUUGAACCUGGGCCUUUCUUGUGCCAUUGUUUAUUCUUUCAGCAUAUAUGUGUUUAUAAAUUGUACUGUAACUGGCCGAGUGUUUUGAAAACUAGCAAUUGUGCGGGCAUCAAUUUUAUUUCCUUUUGAAAGUAAUGUUCUGUUUUCAGGAUAAGAACAAAGUUUGGGUGUAACAAUCUAUAGUUUUUUUUAAUCAACAAUCUAUAGUUAUUUGAUGCCGGUACCCAUAUUUGUCUCCUUAUUAUGCUGAAGUGUUAGGGUACACCGAAAGUGUUGUUCUGAUCCGAGCUCUUGUGAGCUUGGGUGAACAAUAAAAUAAAAUAAAAGUAUAUACAAAAAUUGUACCAAACAUUUAUAAAUGUUUCAUCAUGGGAAAAACAUUUUGGAGCAUCAUUUUUUGGCCACAUCUUCCACAAAUAUCAUCUCGUGAUGAAACUUUGCAAGCAAUCAAAACAUUUGUCAAUGAAGAAAUUCAGAAUUUUUGAAUUUAUUUUGGAUGAUUUAACUGUUCACCUAAGCUCACAGGAGCUCGAGAUCAGAACAGCCUCGUCCUAGGGUACACCAAAAAUUCUUCCCUUCAUGUUGAUUUUGUUUUGUCAUUUUGAACACCUCAUGUAUAUGCGAAAUAUCUGAAUCCGUCACCAGCCUUGUAGUCCUCGUGGUACUCUUUCGUGCGUCUUCUCUAGUUUCCUCCCUCUUUGUGAACUCUUGUCAGAACAAUUUAAUAUUUUUCGACGACAGUGUGACUUGAUAACCAUAGUCCUUUCAUGUAUUAAGGAACUUGUGCCUCUUGAUUGUAAUUCUAUAAACUUUGAAUAAAUUCCUAUUGCCCCGCAAAAAAAACUUGAAGUAAAGAAACAACGGAUUCUCCACUGUGCAUUUAGGUCAGUGCUCCUACUCCGCCUUAAGCGAAGAAUGGUACAUGCGCUGGGCCAUAAAGAUUGCCCUUUCCUUUUUCAUUUAACAUGUUUUAUUUAGGAGAAAUGUGUGGAAGGUGAUCUGGAUAAUAGUAAAUAAUGUAUUUUUUAACAUGACAAAAAUGUUAACAUAUUUAUAAAAUCCCAUGCGUUUUAAAAAGGAACUUAUUUUAAAAAAAUCGUUUGUUUUUUAAGAAAUAUUGCGUUUAGAAAAAUGUUGAAUAUUUCAGAAAACGUUCAUGUACUUAAAAAUUAUUACGUAUUUUUAAAAAAUUGUAUGGUCUUUUUUAAUCGUUCUUGCACGACUUUUUUUUGAUACACUUUAAAAAAAUAUUUGGGAAAUUUCCCUCUUCAUUCACUCUGCGUAUUAGCAUGGAUUCAUCAUCGGGUAGGUGAUGAUCUCAACAUCCAUGAUGGUCAUCCGAGAGUCCGCAACAAAUAGUAACAACUUGACAGCGAUGGUGGGCAGACGACAAUGUGAAAGCACCGUGGGACGAAGAUCUAGUCGAAUCUGCACCUUUCUUGUACCACUGUUUAUUCUUUCAUCAUGCUUUUUUUAAGAAAAUAUUCUUUCAUCAUGUGUUUGUGAUAUAUUUUUUUAUUCUAAUCACUAACCACCACUAAGGCAAGCAGAAAAUAAAGCAUUUCAUCAUUCAAUAGCGUGACUGCCUUCAGAUUUGAAACUGUUUGGAGGAGAAUGUCAAUUCUGUUCAAUGCAGUACUCGGGUGUCAUAGCAUGAUGCCAACGCUAAAACGCUAAGUACAGUAAUAAAAACGCUAAAAUGCUAGGUUAAGUUUCCAGCCUCAACCACCGAUCUAGAGUUGUCACAUGUUCGACUCAGACGAUUGGGUACAAUUAUCAGCGAGCCAUGUCGGAUGAGAGUUAGGUAUCACGUGAUUCAGUCUUCAGGAGUUGGGGGAUGUCCUCCAUGGCCCCUUUACCAUCAGCGGCGUCGAAGUAAAAGAAAUUCUUGAUCGGAUCGCCUUUACAAGAUAUUGACUUAAUCACUUCCUGUUAGAUCCAAAAACAAAGUGCAAAGCCGUGAGCAGUAUGCUGUAGAGAACAUUCAAAUAUGAGAAGGCUUGGAAUGAAAUGAAAUUCACACUCCAAUAUUUCUGCACAUAAAUGGAAUGUAAUAUAGUGUACUUUUGGGCUGGAGGUUUUUCUACAUGUUUCAGGAACAACGUUGUUCAGGAAACAUUGCAUGUUCAUUCACAUCCUUCGUGGAUCAAUUACGGGUGUGAGAUUCUUUUUUAAACAAUCCAUGUGGCAACCUUCAAACCAAACAGCUAUCUUCCACCAAGUGAUCUAAUGCAAUUUCAAGGCCUAUCAAGAGCUAUCUACGAACCACACUUUUGAAUCAGUGAGUACCUCUGUUCACUGGUUCAGCUGUUGGAAUGCUGGUUCAUUGGUUUGACCGCUGGGCUAAUUGGUACUGUACUUCAAUUAAGGGAUGAGUACCUUCAUUUCUGCAUCACAAUCAACAAACCAGCAUAGCCAUGUUGAGUAGGUGGCGUCGCUAGUUCUGCACUGACGCAUGAGGUCGCGCCUAACUGUUUUCUAGCGUGAGUGGCGUGCAACAGGCCGAACUGCUCCAUGGUUCAGUGCAAACCACCUGAUUUGACCAUAUAAGCGCUGCUCACAUGCUUAAGCAGUCGCUAGGCCAAACUGGACGAGUUGACAGUUCCAGUUUUUACAGCCAGAUCUUCAGUCUGGUUUUUUUUAAAACUAUGCCACGAAACAAUAUGAUCCAAUCCAAGUAUAAUUAACACACACAAAAUGAUGUUAAGGAUGUUGGAACAGCUACUAUCAUAAUGAGAAGUCAUGUGGUGUGUGGUAUAUAUUGAUCUAGGAAUACACCAACGGUUGCUGCUACAGUGAAGGGCAAGAGGAAGAGGAUGCAACUUGUCUAGCAGGUUUAGUAAAUGAUUUUGGUGUUGGUGCGUGUAAAUAAUAAUUUCAGGAAAUAGCAUGCAACACAUGGGACAGAAGUUAAGUCAGGACAAGUCCAGUUUAACUGAACCUUAACUGACAAUUUUAGAUACAACAUGCCACGGUUACUUUACAAGACAUGUAAUCUUCAUGUGAUCAACAUAAAAUUAUGAUUUGGAUUUAAAUUCAGUUGUAAGAUAUCAUCGACAGAUUUUACUAGUUCUGCAGUAAUUUUAUUUAGAAAAAAAAGCAUAUUCAAGCUUUAAAUAAAUCAUAGUUUUUUUUACGGGAAAGCUUACUUUAUUAAUCAAAGGACGGAUAUAUCGUCUGCUAGCAGACUCACAAUGAAAUCAGGCGGGGCAUCAAUCCAACGAGAUGGAUUAUUAGCACGUCCCAUCUAGCCAGCUCAUGAGCUACAUAAUUUGACUCUCUAAUACAAUGCUCAAUAGUAAACCUCCCGAAAUCUACUAGAUAACUACGACAUUCAUCAAGAACCAGCGCUGCCACCAUAGAGUAACCUUCAUUGAAUUUAAGUGCAUCCACCACCGUGAUAUUAUCCGAUCUCACCACCAAGUUAUUGCAUCCCGUAUCUCUUGCUAGCUUCAGUCCUUCAAGCAGAGCUGCCGCUUCUGCCGUGAACACAUCAGCUACAUGUUCUAAUCUCGCCGUGGACGCCGACAUGAAAGAUCCCCGGUGAUCACGGAUGACAGCACCACAAGACCCUGCAUAAUCGCCCUCUGUGAAUGAAGCAUCGACAUUCAGGACAAGUUGUCCUGCUAGGAACGUCGGCCACCUGUUGAUCUUGGGUGUAGAUUUAGUUUGUGCUCCGCGCAUAAAAUUAAUCGCUAGGGCAACCACCGCUGGCACUGUUCAUUCUGGAGUCAAUAUUUCUUCCCCUCACACGAAUUGUCUUCUUUGCCACCAUAAGAACCAACAAACUGUUGAUAUGAGCUCUGGUAGCUCGACCAAUCCAGAAUAUUGUCGCCGAUAAGAAUCAUCACAUAAAAUGAACUCCAAGACUGUUGAACCUGCUCGAUCAGUCAAUAAAGCAAAGUUAAUAUCCGCCGCGAUUCCCAAAGCUUCCCAAACUGCUUGCGCCCUUACACACUUAAACAACAUAUGGGCUAAGUCAUCUGCACCAUCUGUACAGUAUGGGCAUUGGGACAAGUUUCCAACAUGGCGAUUCAUAAGAGUACUCCGGCAUGGGAUGGCAUUGUGCAAGCAUCUCCGGAUAUAAAUUUUAACUUUCGCUGGCACUCUCAAACUCCACAACUUCUUCCAAACUGGAUGGGGCGCCAUGGAGAAGCGGGCCAGACCGCUGUCAUCUGUAGCAUAAUUCACUUCCAUUGCUUAUAAUAGGCAGAACGUACUGAAAAAACGCCGCUCCUUGUGAGAUGCCAUGCAACAUAGUCCUCUGUCUCCACAUGGAAUAAUGGGAUUUGUAGUAUGCGUUCAGCAUCAAUGUGCCAGAAAUUAUCCCGGAUUAACAUCUCAUCUCAUUCUCCCGUGAUUGGGUCAAUUAACUCAUUCACUUUAGUAAGUACUUGGUUCCCCCUUACUGUUAAAACUUUUUUGGAGGCACUGUUCGGGAUCCAACAGUCAUCCCAUAUAUUAAUCUUUUCUCCAUUGCCUACUCUCCAAAUGUAACCCUUCUAGAACGUUUGAAUUCCAGACCAAAUGCUUUGCCACACAUAGGACGACCCCUUCUUCAGUUGACAAUUCAGAAUAUCUCCUGUAGGGUAGUACUUGGCUCUCAGAACUCGUGCACAUAAUGAACCAAAGUUCUCAAUUAGUCUCCAACACUGCUUUGCCAACAUUGCCAAGUUGAAGCUAUGAAUAUCCCGGAAUCCCAUACCUCCUCUCUCCUUCAGAAUACACAUCUUCCACCAUGCAAACCAAUGCAUCCUUCGUUGGUCCUCCUCAUCACCCCACCAGUAUUGCGACAUUGCAUCAGUGAUUCCCUUGCAAAUUUUCUUCGGGAAUUUGAAUACACCCAUCGCAUAAGUUGGGAUGGCUUGGGCCACCGCUUUCAGCAAAGCCUCUUUGCCUCCGAAUGAGAGAGUUCUCUCUUUCCAUCCAUUCACCAUUGCUUGAAUUCUUUCUAUUAUGUGUUUAAAACAAUCAACACGGUCCACCCCUAUCAUGGAUGCUAGACCCAAAUAUUUGUCUGAAAUAGACUCCGUCAUAAUAUUCAGAAUUUGACAAACUUCUGCCUUCACCUCCACAUUUGUGUUAGGACUGAAAAAUAUAGAGCAUUUUGAUUCACUCACCAAUUGACCUGAGGCUGCACAGUACUCAUCUAAAAUCCCACGCAGGGUGUUUGCAUUGUGGGUGUCUGCUCUCAUGAGAAUAAGAGAAUCGUCAGCAAAAAGUAAAUGAGAAAUCGUUGGCGAAUCUCUACACACCUGCACGCCAUUCAAGUUACCAGCCUCCUCCUCAUGAGCAAUAAGGGCCGACAGUCCUUCAGCACAUAAGAGAAACAGAUAUGGGGAGAGGGGAUCCCCCUGUCUCAAACCUCUCGUUGGUGAAAAAGGCAACGUUUCAUUUGAGUUGAACCGAACCUUAUACUCAACCGACCUUACGCAAGUCAUCACCAUUUGAAUCCACUGAGCAGGAAAUCCCAAUUUGGUGAGCAUGGCCUCCAAGAAUACCCACUCAACUCUGUCAUAUGCCUUGUGCAUAUCUAACUUGAUUGCACGGGUUCCAAACUUCCCCUUCUUUCUCUUCUUCAUCGUAUGUAAGCACUCAUAUGCCACUACGACGUUAUCAGUAAUGAUGCGCCCUGGCACAAAUGCACUUUGUGUCUCACUGAUUAUAUCUAGAAGAAAAACCUUCAGGCGUGCUGUGAGCAUUUUUGAGAUCACCUUAUAAACCACAUUACAUAAACUGAUAGGCCUAAAUUGGGUGAUCUUCUCUGGGUUGUCCACUUUGGGAAUCAACACGAUAGUAGUAGAGUUCCAACCUUCUGGGAUCGUACAUGUAUUAACAGCCGCAAGAACCUCCUUCGUUAGAUCUCCUCCGAGCAGGUGCCAAAACUUUUUAUAAAAGAUAGCAUGUAAUCCGUCCAGCCCCGGUGCUUUCAAAUCACCAAUACUGAAUAAAGCUUUCCUGACCUCCUCCUCUGUGUACGGAGCCAUAAGUGACUCAUUCAUAUAAUCCAUAACACGCCUCUUAACUUUAGUUAUAACAUUCAUCGCUGGUACAUUAACUUCAGCAGAGAAGAGAUGCUGAAAGUACUCAGUAAUCAAACUUCGCAUAGCUUCAUUGUUCUCUCUCCAUACACCUGAGUCAUCAAGCAAGCGUUUAAUGUAAUUUCUUUUCUUCCUAGCCGAUGCAAAAUUAUGAAAGAAACUAGUGUUCCGAUCACCGAAUUUUAGCCAGUUUGCACGGCUACGUUGUACCCAAUAGAUCUCUUCCUUCUCCAAAUUUUCUUCUAUCUCCAUUAGCAAUAUUCUCUGCCUGUCUCCCGCCUCGUCAGUGAGAGGGCCCGACCGCAACAAUUCCAACUCCGCCUUCAGCUCCUUCAAACGCCGAUGGGGAGCCUUCAAGAUCGAACGAUCCCAUUCAUGCAUGGUGGCGUGUACACUUGCUGUGCGCUCUGCAAUGGGUGCCAACGGAUUGGUUCGAUCCCAAGCUUCAGGCACAAUUUGCAUAACAUUCUUCUCUUGCAGCCACCUAGAUUCAAAGCACCUCUGAUCGGUUCGCUGAUGGUCCCCCUGUACAUCUCCCUCCGUAUCAAUGAAUAUUGGCCUGUGAUCAGACUUGGUGUGUGCAGCAUUAGUAAUCUUUGCCUCCGGAAAAAGCCCAUGGAACUGACCAUUGCAUACCGCUCUGUUGAGGCGUUCUCUAAGCCUCCUCCUCCCCCAAGUAUAUAAAUCACCACUACAACCCAUGUCCUCCAAUUCGCAAUCAACAAGGGCAUCUCUGAAAGUUUGCAUCAUGUGCAUUGGCCUCGGUGCACCGCCCUCCUUCUCGUGGGAGUAUAAGAUCUCAUUAAAAUCCCCGGCUAUCAACCAAGGGAGUGUUAUACGUUGAUGUAGAUCAUGCAAACAUGACCAUGACAGAUGUUUAUCUUCCCACUUCGGCUCACCAUAAAACCCUGUAAACCUCCAAACCUCAUAUGUGCCAUCCCCCACGGUAACAUCUAUGAAAUUUUUAUCCUUAUCUCUGAGUUGAAUUGCCAAUGGUCUCCGCCAAAACAGAAGCAAACCACCACUCGCCCCGUUACUUUCAUGCACCUCCAUGUAUUCCAUCUUUAACUUUUUCUGCAGUUUUUCUGCCUUAGCUUUGUUCAGAUGCGUCUCAGACAGAAAAACGACAUCCGGCCCCCACUGCUUCUGGACGUCCAGAAGCACUCUUUCUGCCGCGGCACUAGCCAUCCCACGGCAGUUCCAACAUAUGAGUUUCAUUAUUCACGGUGAUCACCCACCAGUCAAACAAGCCAAAACGUCGUAUGUCCAAACCCUAACUCGCAAGGAGUAGAGUAGACGGAAAUCAAGACUGCACGAACCUUGCCGAGGUAUCGGCCAGAGCUGCAGGACAGAAAACCAAUCGUUGCCGAAGCCAACGCCGGGACAGAAAACUUGGACGAACUUGAAAUUGCCUCCUGAUCCGGUCAGUAGCCAAGUUCCUGAUGCAUAAGCACCAGAAGGACGAAACGCAACAACGCCGUGGUAGUAGUCAUCAUGACGAAGAGGCAACACGUGAGAAAAAACGGCCUGCGCCGGCGCCGCUGCAGGCAGCGGCCGCGCCCAGCCCUAAUCGCAAACGCAGGAUACGGCCGCACAAGUGCAUAAAUAAAUCAUAGUUAGUUGAAGUCUCGUUUGGACUUGCCUUGACCCAAUUAAUUUAAGGGAAACGUUUCUAGUCGGCGCGCCGGCCGAAGCUUCGGCUGGUCGUGCGCGACCCGUUCGAUACUUUUUCAUCGUGUGGCUAGCGCAUGCGGCCUCUCUCCCGUGGUGGGACGCGUGGCUGAUGGGCCCACCAACCGCUAGCACCAGGCCUUAUCCUUUCGUCCAGGCUUCACAUCCAUUCAUUUUUCUCACCAUCAACGCCCGCGGCUCCGGCGAGCACGCUCCCUACCUGCCCCUCCGCUGCCCCGGUGAGCGCCGCUCCCCCCUGCCCCCACGCCGCACUCCGGCGAGCACGCUCCCCACCUGCCCCUACGCUGCUCAGGCGAGCGCCGCUCCCCACCUGCCCCCGCGCUGCUCCGGCGAGCGCCGACUCCAACUGUGCUGGAACGGCUGCUACAUCGCGAAACGAGCGGAUGAGAUGCUGGAAAGCCUCGGUGGGAGCUGCGAGUGGGGAUUUUUUUUGCUACAACUGGUGUUUUGUUUUGCUGGAAUCAACAAUAUUUUUUGCUACGAUCCAGAUUUUGGAAGUGCUUUUUUGCUGGAACAGUCUAAAUUUUUGCUGGAACCGGCAAACCAUUUUGCUACAACCGUGUUUGGUUUUUAUUACUACCGGUGUUUUGUGGAUUUGUGCUACAUCCAUCUCCAUGACAUCAUCUGUUUUUCCAGUCGAUUUUUUUGCUACAAUCAUGCUAUGAUUUUGUUGGAGCCUAAGACAAAUUUUGCUACAUCCAGCCACGGCGGCGAUGGCUUUUUUCUUCAAUGGGAUCCACAACCAAUUUUUGAUACAAACAGCGAGCAGUUUUGCUUGAACCAACAUAUUUUUUAGCUGGAACCAUUGGAUUUUUUGCUGGAGCCUAUGCUUUUCCAGAGAUGCAAAGCUAUUUUUUGGAACGAAGACGCUAGACGCGUCCGGCUUUAAAUUAAUAAAGCCCUCAGGCACCAGUUCAGCAAGGUACAACCCAGAAAAGCAGAAAACAGGUUCAGUCCAAGAGGACGACGAAAACAGCACAGAGGUUCCACGCGAAGGCAACAUUACACCAUACAAAUCAUCCAACGCAGAAGACCUAUCUAACAUGAAACAUCCACCGAAUGCACCAAAAGCAUCAUCGAGUCGUCGUGUCUUGUCUAGCCAUCACCUGGAUAGUCUUGAUGCGCGCCAUGGCCUUCGACAUGCGCUCAGCAUCGCACUCCUUCCCCAACGGAGUCCAUGUCUGUAAGAAAAGGUGACAUUUGAAGAUCACAUCCGCAGGGUGGUUAGGAAUUUUUUUCUCAAUCGUAAUUUUAUUGCGCGUCGUCCAAAUAGCCCAUAGUAGCGCCCCUACGCAACGCCAAGCGAUUCUACUACCGGUCCCUCUCGUGGUUUUAAGGAUGGCAAUCAAGUCGUUCCCUGAGGCUGGGUUCCAGUUCGAGUGGAAGGCUUCCCUAACUGCACUCCACGCGAACCUGGCUAGGUGGCAUCUAAAAAAGACGUGGUUAGCAUCUUCACCUAGACUGCACACAGUGCAGGUACCGUCAGCCGGACCAUUACGUUUUGCCACAUUAUCCGACGUGGGCAGCCUAUUCCUGAGCAUUUGCCACAUGAAGAUUUUAAUUUUCAAGGGCAGGCCUGCCUUCCACAGCCCCCUAGCUAUAUCUAGCGCUGACCCUUCAGUAAGCUUGUUGUAUAAAGAUUUAACCAAGAAUUUCCGGGACGCUGUCAAGCUCCAUUUGACCAAAUCUUCGCCCGGCCCUAUACGGUUGUCACCAAUUUGAUGCACUAGGUCGUCCCAUGCCUCCCGUUCGGCAUUGGAAAGGGCCCUCAUAAAAUGGAUCGCUGGGGUCAGUACGGGCUGCCUCUCCCACUAAGAUGUUGGUGUCAGUGGCGAUCCGAAAAAGAUUGGGGUGACUUUGCCAAAGGGGAGAGGCUCCCAGCCAAUGAUCCAGCCAAAAGAGAGUGGAUUGGCCAUUUUGAAUCUGAAAUUUGGCCCCGAUUGCAAAAGCUGGUCGGACCGCUUGGAUCCCUUUCCAAAACACGGAGCCGUUGGCCGGGGCACUGAAAGGAUUCCCAUUUGGGAAAUACUUAGCCUUUAGCAGCUGAGCCCAGAGGCUCGUCUCGUUUUGGGCAAGCCUCCACCACCAUUUGGACAGUAGGGCUACGUUCAUAAGUUUGGAGUUUAGGAUCCCCAACCCUCCGAAUUUUUUUGGCCUACAGACAGCCGCCCACUUUACCAGGUGAUAUUUCCGCUUGAUACCAGUUCCUUCCCAAAAGAACCGGGAUCGCGGAGUAUCUAGCUUAGCGUGCACGCCAUCAGCUAAUAAGAACAUCCCCAUAGUGAAUAGGGGCAGAGAAGAGAGGCUCGAGUUAGUUAAAAUGAGCCUAGCCGCAGAAGACAUAAAACGCCCUCGCCACGGGCUUACCCUAUUGGCCACCUUCCCAUACAGCGGCUCCCACUCUGAAAUCGAUAGUUUGCGAUGGGAUAUAGGAAGCCCCAGAUACUUUAUUGGAAAGCUCCCAAGUUUGCAAUUAAGUAGAUUUGCGGCACGCCAACUUUGAUGGUCGUCCAUCCCCAUGGUGAUGACCUCGCUUUUAAGAAAAUUUAUUUUGAGUCCGGACAGGAUCUCAAAGGCUAAUAACAAAAGCUUAAUCGAGGCGAUACUAUGAUCGUCGGGCUUAAACAACAGCAAGGUAUCGUCUGCAUAUUGUAAAUGGGUCACACCACCCAGGAUGAGGUGUGGAACGAGUCCCUUAACAUGACCAGCCUCGCUGGCCUUAGACAGCAUAGCUGCCAAAGCGUCUGCCACAAAAUUAAAGACGAGUGGGGAGAUGGGAUCGCCCUGUCUUAACCCUUUCCUAUUACGGAAAAACUUCCCCAUUUCGCCAUUGACAAUAACCGAGGUGUUGCCACUCGAGAUCAGAUGCAUGAUCCGGUGUACGAAACCCGCCUCAAAUCCCUUUUUGAGGAGGACUUCCCGCACGAACUCCCAGUUUACGCGGUCGUACGCUUUUUCAAAAUCGAGCUUGAGGAUAACGCCCUGUCCACGAGUACGUUUUAACUCGUGGAUUAUCUCCAUGAGCGCAAUAGGCCCUUCAAGAAUGUUUCUACCCUUAAGGAAAGCAGUCUGGCUCUUAUGGAUUACUCGUUGGGCAACCGGCGCUAACCUAGAGGCAAAGGCUUUGGCACAUAACUUGAAGGGAACAUUUAGGAGCGUGAUCGGACGGAACAGCUUGAUUGUAUCCGCCCCUUUGACCUUGGGAAUCAAACAGAUCGCCCCAUAAUUAAGUCUCGAGAGGUCAACCGUACCUAGGGCGAAGCCAUUAAUAAUAGCUUGGAAGAGGUCUCUAAGGAAAGGCCAAAACUUUUUGAAGAACUCUACCGGCCAGCCAUCCGGGCCUGGAGCCGUGUCGUUCUUCAUGCCCGCAAGCGCUAGGUCAAUCUCUUGUGGCGUAAAGGACAGCAUGAGUGCGUCGUUUUCCUGUUGAGACACCCUCUCCUCCAGGCCCCAUAAGUCUUCCCUAAGACUUAAACCUUUCUCUUCGGCUGUUCCCAACAGCUCGACAAAGAAAUCGAAGAUGUGCUUAACGAUUUCAGACUGGGACACCAGAGUCCCAUGCUCCGAUUGUAGUCUUAGGAUGGUACUCUUGCGUUUACGGCUGUUGGCGUACGCGUGGAAGUAGCCGGUGUUGGCGUCACCUUUCACGACCCACUUGACGCCGCCCCUACGUCUCCAGUAUUCCUCCUCUGCUCUAAGGAUAGCCAAGACCUGGUUUUCCAUAGAGUAGCGGUGCUCCCAUUCUUCGCCAGAGAAAGGUCUGGCAUCCGCCUGCGCGUCUAAACUCGCGAUUUCUUCCAUGAUGCGUUCCCUUUCCCUUUUGGACUCGCUGCCGUGGUUGGCCCCCCAUCCCUUGAGGAAAUCCCGCAAAGCCGCAGCCGCAGAGGACCAGAACUCUACUGGUCCUCUUUGACACCCCACCUGGUCUCCAAUCAAGGCCCAACGAGUCGUGACCAACUGACAGAAGCCCUCGUGUUCGAACCACGCCGUCUCGAAGAAAAAUCUACGGCUGCGACGCCUACUGUCCUCUCCUGACGACAGAAUUAGAGGGACAUGAUCUGAACCAAUGCGCGUCUCGGCCACUAAGGUACAGAGGGGGAACAGGGCCUCCCAAUCGCUUGAACAAAAAACACGGUCGAGAACACAUCGCACUGGAACCCGCUGUUUGUUAGUCCAAGUGUACCUUGCACCUGUCCGCGCAAUUUCCCUAAGAGCCGCGGCCGCAAUAGCAUUGUUGAAAAGGGACACCCUAGCCCAGUCAAUGUUGCUAUUGCUCCUGUCCGCCCCCGAGCGGAUCAAGUUAAAGUCCCCGCCCACAACGAUGGGCAAGUUGGCCGCUCGCUUGGCCCCGACCAAGGCUGUGAUUUCCCCCAAGAAAUCUGCAGACCUCGCGUGGUCCGCCGGCCCGUAGACACUAACAAUCACCCAAGUAGCCAUGGAUACCCGGUGACGAACAGUAGCUGCAAUAUAGAAUAAACCCGGCUCCCACGCAAUAACAUCACAGAUAUCUCUAUUACAACCCAUCAGCUGACCUCCAGAAUGCCCCAUGGAAGGGGUCCAAAACCAAUCAAAACGCUGAAAAGGAUCAUACGCCACUAAAUCUCUAAACGUGAAAUCAGCCUUAAUAGUCUCUUGGAGCGCAACAAAAUCUAUGUGUUCUUUAGACAUAUACUCUCUGAGCUGCGUACGCCGCCCCCCAUGGCCGCAUCCGCGAAUGUUCCAGAAGAUGUAUCUCAUCAGAUAACCCUAUUACGCAGGUGAACUCCACGGGAGCUCACCGCCUUGGCCACACGCUUCCUUGCCGGCGCUCGGCUGGAAGAAGGCAAGUCCGAGGCCACCCCGGCCUCGUCUUCCUCGGUGGGCAAAUCUACUGCACCAGCCCCUACUGGUAUCACGGCCUGACCGUCCGCGGGCUGCGCAGCCGCACAACGGGCUGCAGCAGCCGCAAGAGCGGCCUGAGCAUCUUCACGCGCGCGAACUAAGGGAAUGAUAUCCAAAGGCGAGGAAUCUAGUGCAACGCCACUAUCGUGAAGAAUCUCAGCUAGAUGGACGUCAGAAAAGGCAUUUAAGAUCUUGUAAGAGGGGGAAGGGUUACCUGUCAUGUCCAUGUUCUUGUCAGCAGCACGGAGCUUGGCGCUUUCCAACGAGGACAAGUCCCCGAGCUUGGCCUUGGCGCGCACGCUAGGAGCCCGGGCGCCACCGGAGUCGCUCUCGAACGCUUGGCCUUGGUCGCCGGCCCUGGCGCCUCCAGAGCCGCUCCUAGCUCUCCUCCCAGCGCAUCGAUCGCACCCGCCGCCUCCUUGGCCACCGUCUUGUUCCCUGGUUUCCUCCCUGCUGUCUUCUUGCCCUGCCGCCCGGAGCCGCUCGACAUCCUCUUGCCCGAGGCCGGGGUAAGGUCAGUAACCACGCAUCCUGACCUCGAGCCCCCUACGCGCGCUGGAGAGGCAGUCAAAGGAUCUGUCUCCUUUGACACCAGCGGCAAGGGCCCAGGCUUGAUUGGAGCUUGCAAGUUGGAGCCGUACUGGUCGAAGGACUGAUCCAGGGAGCGGGCGAGGGGGGGAAACUAACAGCAGUGUCUUGAGUAGCUAGCACACCCAACUUUUCCCAAGUCUCCGUGUCAAUGGAAGUAUCUGGAAUGCUCUCUUCGGGCUCCUCAUGCAGCUCGCCCAUCUCCACCUCUUGGCCAGCCGGGGCCGCACCCGCGCCCGGCGCCACCUGCUGGUGCCCCCCAGCCACGGAGUUGCCCGUUGCCGCACCCUUACCAACUUGCUUGGAGGGAAUCACCGCGGCUGUCCCGGGCUUGAGCUUGAGCUGCCCGCCCGCACCAUGCUGGCUUUCAGAAAGGGGGGCAGAUGGGCCCGCCCCAGACGCACCACUUUCGUCCCCCAGCCUCCGCGGCAACCGCUCCACCUCCACCUUGAUCUGGUACCCUUCUUGGUUAAACCACACCUCGACCGUGCCGUUAAGUUUAGCCGGCGACUUGCAAGCCAGUUUCAUCCUCACAAGCCCCAACUUUAUGAGGGAAAGCUCGUCGACCACGAUCGGACGUCCCAGCAUCUUAAAAGCCUCCUUGAUUCGCUCAAUCUUGCGGUGUUUCUCAGGGAUCCCGUAGAGCCGCACCCAAGCUUCUGGCAUCACCAUCGGGGGGAUCACCUCUUGCUCCACAUCACGCACCCUAGCAAUGAUAUCAUUGAUAGAAAGGAAAAGCUUGCCACUAGUCCGGGCCAAAUGCAGGAGAUCCGCUGAAGGGAACACCACCAUGAAAUCGUCCUCUCCUACUUGGGUGACUUGCCAGUCCCAGUCCCCCGUGACCAUGUGGUUGAGCUCCUGAAUAAGAAUCCGCAGGCUCAGACGUCCUGGCUCAGCCGAGAGGAUGGCGGCGUUGCCAACAGAGAGCUACCGUGGACCCUCGGAUUCCUCCUCCUCUUCGAACUGCAGACAAAAGAAGCCUUCCCCAGAAAUUGCGCUACCCAUGAUCUGCAAACAAGGCUGCCGACCCCUCGUCGGGCAGUGCGCAAACGCGUGUCCCUCCUCCUUGCACAGCACACACAAGGGCUUGAACUUACACUGCGACUGGAAAUGGCCAAGUCUCCCGCACUUGAAGCAUUCCACCUCCGGGGCCUUCGGCACAUCCUCCACUGGAAUGGGUUCGUCCGCCGUACCCUUCGAUCCAGGGAGGAGCGGCACCGUCAGGGGGGCGGAAGCCGCCCUGGGCCUCUUGGCCAGUGGAUCCCCGUGGCCACCACCACAGUUAGGGUGAUCCAUUGGCUUCCGCUCCAACUCCCGCCGCCGCGCCAGCUCCUUCUUCUUCUUCUUUCUCUCUUGCUGCUGGAUCCACCAGGGGGUAGGAGGACCCCAAUCCCCCUCGCGCCCCACUUGCUCUUGGUAGCGGUCGGAUCUACCACUUUGCCUCGCGCGCAUCUCCUUCGACGCCUUCUCCCGCAGGUCUCUCUCCCGCCGCCGCUCCCCAUCCAGGUCCUGGGCCUCCAUCGGCCUCUUCUCCGUGCGCCGAUCGCUCAUCACCGCCGCUGCAAACGAAAUGGGAAGCGAAGGAGGGGGUGGGGCGAAUGGAUCUGGUGAGGUGAGCAAAGCGCCGCACCUCGUUUCUGGUUGCGGGAAACCCUAGCGAGGGGGCGAGGUAGCCGUGCCGCAUCCAUAAAUAUGUGCCGUGGCUGGGCCUAGACCUAGGAAACGCUGGCGCGGACCUAUCCGGGCCAGUCGGCCCAGUAGGAACCAGGCCACCGCCCGCAGGCUGAUGUGUGGGCCCCACUAGGCAAGACACACCUUCGCCACCCGUCCCAGGCACGGGGACCGGCCCACGACCCACUAGCCCGACCACGGCCCCAGGCCCAGCAGCGCCAACCCUAGCCUGCGAGGAAACAGAGCCAUCGUCCUCCGCCGACAGCCCUGCCGCCGCCUCCACCUCCUCCGGCCCCUGACCGGCGACCACCUACGACGGCAGGCGCGGCCACGCAGCCUCCGAGGCCACUGGAGCGAGCAUCGCGGACGCCGCCCUCGACCUGAUCGUCCGCGCGGCAUCUCCAGGAGACGCCCCCCUGACCGGGGUCUGCAAGGGCUGCCAGGCCCGAACAGCGACGGCGCGCGAUCCCCGGCCGCCCGGAGCGAAACGACGACGCGCCCCAGCGGCGCCGCUCCCCUCGGCUUGCGCGUAGGCGACAAAAUCACCCAACGACGGGCCCUCAGGCACCGGCCGCCCUGCCUCCGACUCCAGAUCCACGCCGUCCACAUCCUCCGGCUCCUCUCCUGCCAACGCCCAGAACCUACCUCCUACCGACGCCACCACCGAGCCCGCCGCCGCGCCCCACCGCGACCAAGCCGGGGAGGAGCCAGGACCACUCCUAACCACCUCCCAGCCCUCGCAGGCCGGAGCUCUGGGCGACCGGGGCAAGGCGCCCGAGCCGUCGCCAGAAGAAGCGCCUAACGGUCUACUCAUCUCUUCACCUCCAUCCAUCGAUCGUCCUGCACGAGUAUGGCAGUAGAAUGUAUUCGCUGUGUUGCCGUCCUCUAUCUCUGCAACCUUCUAAGGGAUGCAACUAAUGGAGUACUUUGUUCGCAAAGCUAUUUUUGAUACAACUGGCAAGAAAUUUUGCUUCAACCAAUAUCUAAUUUUGUUGGAACCAGCAAUUUCAAAGCUGCGACAAGCGAAGCUUCAUUUUGUUUUUCAUUUUUUGCUACCACCAUUUUCUAGUUUGCUGGAAGCAUCACAUUUUUUUGCUACCACCCGUUGUUUUUGGAUGCGAAUCAUGGCGUCGUCGCCAUUGAUCCUGCAAGGGCGAGGGAGAGAGGUGAUGGGAUGGGCAGCACCGCCGAGCAGCGGAGCUGCAACCAGCAGCUCACCGGCGUCGAGCGCCUCGGCGGGCGGACGGGCUGACAAGCGUUGGUGGCGCUAUGGCCCGGGCGGCGGGCGGCCGGGGCGACGGGCACCGACCGGGGCGACGAGCACCGCAGCGGGCAGCCAGGCCGACGAGCGUGGGUGGCCCUAUGGCCGGGGCGACGAGCGCCGUGGCGGGCGACAUGGGUGACGGGCGCCGCGGGUGAGGCGACCAGCAUAGGAGGAGGAUGAAGUGAGGGGGCACAUCCGAUGGCUAGGCGCGUAGGAUCGUACGGUCCGGUCCUGCGUAGACCGGCCGAAUCGUUGCACCGUCGCAGAGUAGUGCCCUCUUAAUUUAAACCUAAAUCGGUGUAAUGUGGGCUAGCCCAUCAAACAUGGAGUCCCAUUCCUUAAUUAGAGUCACGGUUGGCUAAGCAAGUUUGUUAGGAAAGAGCCUCAGUUUCUAGAUCGUAUUAGAGAUUGAAUAGACUCCCCAGAUUUUUCUUCCUAGGUUAGAUAUAGAUUACUCAUUACAGCUUACUAACUUGUCUGUUUUGUUUGUUCUGGCAUCUGCAGCUCCACGGGCCGCUCGGCCCACGCGACUCGACGACGGCAAGCCAGUCCCUCGCCAACUUUAACCUCCCCACGGUGGGCUCCAGCAUCGCCACGCUCAUCUCCAUGUUCGCGAGGCAAGGGCUCUCGCCGACCGACAUGACGUACGGCGCUGUCCGGCGCCCAUACCAUCGUACGCACGUACGGUGUGUUAUUGACAUCUUCUUCUUUCGGAGGUGCCUGCGUCCGGAAUGAGCGGGGCGACUAGAGACGGGCCUCGCGACCCCGGCGCCGGCGGCGACCGGCGAGUCGGAGGACGGUUCUGGGCGCUAGUGGAGAGUGACGAGGAGGAGGACGCAGACGGUGGCCGGCAUCUGGACGCCGGCUCGCCGGAGACGGCGUCACCUACACCUUCAGAUCACAUUUGCGAGGCGUUCACGAGUGGAUAUUCUGAGGAUGAGGUUGCGCUGUUGGUAGAUGAGGCGAUCCCGCAAGACGAUCCGGCGAGAACUGGACUGGAGAAGACGGAGAGGAUCGAGAUCGUUCGGCGCGUCGUGCACCGGAGGACGGCGGCGAUGGCGAUCCGGCCAUGGCGUGGUCCUCUUCCAAAGGUACGUCUUCCGGCCCUUACGUUUGGUGAUUAUCUCGGUUCGGAUUGGAAUGUUGUGCCCAAUCGCCGGAAGAAUAAGAAACGGACGGCAGCGGCGGCCGGCCGGAAGCUGGUGGCGCCGGCGGCGUCGUUCGGGAUCGCCGCCGCUAGGGAGCAGCGUUUGAAUUUCCUGUGGGCGCGGAUGGGCCGCCUGUGGCUUCUAGGCCGACUUCGGCUGGGUAUGAGGCCCAGUGCGAAGCGGCUGCGGUUCAAGCAGAAUUGUUUUCACUUGGGCCGGUGACUUCGUUUGGGCCACGGUGUGCUGGGUAUGAGGCCCAGCCGGACGUGGUUUCGAUUGAUCCUGAGGAAAGGAGCGCAUGCACGAGUCGUUCGUCUUCGUCUGUGCUAGCGUCGUGCCCUAGGUUUCUCCAUCGCCGCUCGCCGUCCCUACGCACGGCCGGACCUGGUCGGGCUCGAUGCAUCCCCCCUCUCAGCGCUAUGGGGGGCUCUGGAGGCGCGCCCCCUUCUAGGCUGCCGCCUGCGCCCAGCGGGGCGGGGCGGGCUUCCGGGGUCACGCCGCCGGGCCAAGGCAACGGCAGGGGCGCGCAGCCGCCGGGCCAAGGCAAUGGCCGGGGCACGCUGCCGCCUCCGGAGUCGGGUGCUGGUCGUGGUGGCCUGCCGAUGCCCAAGUCCGCAGCGGGUCGCGGGUCGGGAAGACUGGAUGCGGCGCGGGUUGCUGUUGGGACGCCCGUGGGGAGGCCGCCGGCACCGGCGGUGCCGUCGGGUGGUCGUGGUGGACCGGGAUCCGGCCCUAGGUCAGUGGCUCCUGGCGCUGCUACGGUCGUAGCUGCGGGCAGGGGGGCCGCGCCACCAAGGGCCCCCGCACCGUCGGGUCCGAUGCCUAGACCGGCUCCCCCUCCACACGUCGUUGCUCGUCCGUCUCAGUCGUCGCAGACCAACGGUACUAAUACUGCGCCCCGGGGUCAGUGGGGGGACGAAGGCUACGAUGCCUAUGGAGCUGGCCAGCACCGUGGUUCUUCGUCCACAGGAGGCGGUCGUGGCUAUGCAUGGCAAAGUGAUGGCUCGAUUGAGAGGCCGUUCUUGGGGCCUGCCGGGGGCUUCGUUGAGGGGUCUUCGGAUCCGGGUCAUCGUCAGCGAGGAGGUUACCGUGGCCAUCGUGGUGGUCGGAGCGGGCGAGGAGGCCGAUACCGUCCACGACCGCCGCCACCACCGGUCGUUGUCGAGCAGAUGACUGAUAGCGGGGCGGCAGAGGAGCCUGUGUUGUCCGAUCAUGCUAUGGAGGUAGUGACGGCUCUUGCUUCUGCUCCGGUUCCUGAGGUUAUGUCUGAUGUGUCUGCGGAGAUGAUGGACAGGGCUGAGUCUGAUCGAGCGUCCAAGUGGGCGCGUAGGAAAGAAAAGAUGCUUUGCUAUCGUUGCGGAGAUAAGGGUCACUUCAUUGCCGAGUGUGUGGCGCGGUUAUGUGAUACCUGUGGUAAACUGGCUCAUGAAUCUGGGGAUUGUCCGUUACUGCGUGAUCAGGCACCUUCACUUAAGAUGUAUGGAGUUUACUGUGCUGAGCUAACUUUUUUUGAGUCUCCGACUGAGCAUGAGGUGCCUGCCGAGUCUCCGAGUAUGACCACGGGGAUUGUCAAGGUCACCAGAGGGGAGGUGUCUGAGGCACAGAUAGUGCAGAGGCUUCGAGAGUUGGCUCCUGGGGAUUUCCAGUGGGACCUUGUCGGGCUUGCUGAUAAGAUGUUCAGGGUCGAGUGCCCGUCUGUGGAGGACUUGCAGCGAUUGCUGAUUUUUGGGAUGUGUAAGGUGCCGGGUACUGAUGGUAUCCUUGAGUUUCAGGAAUGGAAGAUUGUUGAGCCUCAGGGUGUACCGCUUACGCAAGCGUGGCUACGCUUUUCCGGGGCACCUUCCUCGCCGCUGCAGGAUGCUCGGGUUGUGGCCAGUUUGGGCAUUCUGUUGGGGAAGCCUGAGCGUGUGGACAUGGCUUUCACCAGAGCUCAUGGGAUUGCUCGGGUGCUUGUCAGUAUACUGAAUGUUGAGUAUGUGCCGGAAGUGGUUAAGUGGGCUUACCGAGGCAAGAUUUAUAAUCUGGUUAUUGAGUUUGAGGACGAGAGCCUGCUGUCUGCGCCGGAUCACGCGUCUGACGUUGAUAUGCAUGAGGGUGACGGUGAUGCGGGAGCUCCGGAACCGCCGGUUGAGGACUCUGGACGACAGUUGUCCAUGGGGCCGGGGUCUGAGACCGCGACGACCGGGGAUGGAGCUGCCCAGCCCUCCUCGGUGCCUUCGAAUUCGUUGAGAUUUGGAUCUUUCGAGCCUUUUUCUGCACCGCCGAGGUUGUGGAGCGACCGGGUGGAGUCCGCGGAGGCCUUUGAGCUCGCUUUGCCUGCGUUGGAUUUUAUGGAUGCUCUGGACUCGGGUUCUAGGGAUCUCGGGGCUUCAUCACUGUUGGUCAGGGGGCGGAGGAGGUGAGUCGGCCGGUGGCCACUCCCUCUUCUGGUCAGCGCAUGGUUCCCCCUCUGGAGAUGCCGCAGCCUACCGGGUCCCGUGUGCAGGGAGGAGCCAUAGGCCAGGCGGUCUCAGGUUCUUUUUGUGCUGAGGACGGGGAUGCGGGGCAGGUGGCUCCCGUGUCCUCUUCUACGCUGGGAGGAGGUCUGGGUCAGGAGGACUCGGAUACUUCCUCUCCCGUUGCGAUUUCUUCUCGGACGGUGUCAACUUCGCCUUCGGGAGUGGGCUCAGGGCAGGUGGCCUCGGAGCUUUCUCCUAUGGUGGCGGCCUCUCCGGUGCAGGUUGGGGAGCCAGGACGGGAGGUCCUGGCUAUGUCUCCACCACCAUCGGUGAUGCCCUCGUCUGGUGGGGCGUGCCAGGCGUCCCUUCCUCCUAUUGGCGCGACCGCGGGGAGGCCCAGGCAGGUCGCUCGGACUGCGGGUUCGGGUGCGGCAGGAGGCCGUACCCCAUCCGUGAUCUCUCGGGAGGAGGUGAUUGCGUUUGGCGGGAUCCAGGACCCCAUGUCUGAGGGGCGCCGGGUGAGUGCCCAUCUCCAGGCACAUCCGGAUGUGGACGACAUCCAGCAACGGUGCGCUAUGAGGGCGGCCAAGCUUCGUGAUAUUGAAGUCACUACUGGUAUGUCGGUCAAUAUUUCCAAUUCCAUUUUGCAUUUUUCAAAUGAUGAGAUUCUUGAUAAUGCAAAUCAAUUAGGAGUUUCUCUUGGUAGUAAUGAAAAUGAAACUACUAAUUCUAUUAAUGAUCUACUUGACCUAGAGGCUGAGCGGGCCUUAGAGAUGAUUCGCAAUAUUGCGGCUGUUAAACCCAUGUGUGAUUCGGAGGUUGAUGCGCUUGGGGUCAGGGUGCUUGACAAUUUUUGUGAGGAUCUGUUGCCUUCUAGUUCUGAGGCGGGGGUAGAGGAUGUCUCUACUGAGAUAGGCUUGGCAAGCCCCUCUGACACUGGGCAUGAGGACCAGUUGCAGAGUCAAGCUAUUCCAAAGCGCAAGUGGAAACAGAAGGUAUACCCGGUGUCCGCAGUGCGUAGGAGUGCUAGGUUGCGUUCGGCAAAAAAAUUCUACGAUGAACUAUGAAAGGAAUCUUUUGGAAUAGCAGAGGUCUGAGAGACUUGGCUAAAAGAAGGUUUCUUGCUGAGGCGUCUGUCGAACAUCGCUUAGAUUUUAUCGCUCUUUUGGAGACGGGAGAGAUAAUUUUGCACCUCAGUUUCUAAAUUCUUUGUCGGGGGGCAUUGCAUUUGAUUGGCAUUGCUUGCCGCCGAGAGGGCGAUCAGGUGGAAUCUUACUCGGCGUUAGGUGCGAGACGCUUGAGGUUCGCAGUGUGGUUAUGGGAGACUUUGCAGUCAAGUUCCGGGUGCGGUCGAAGGAAGAUGGGUUUAACUGGGCUUUGGUUGCGGUUUAUGGGGCUGCGCAGCCCGAGCUCAAGCCCGAUUUCCUGGCUGAUCUAGUUCGGAUGUGUGGCUCCGAGCAGCUGCCGUACCUGGUGGGGGGUGAUUUCAAUAUUAUUAGGAGGCGUGAGGAUAAGAACAACGAUAACUUUGACGGCAGAUGGUCGUUCAUGUUUAAUACUAUCAUUGAGAGUUUGAACCUGAGAGAAAUCGAGCUCUCGGGCAGAAAAUUCACCUGGGCUAAUGCGCUGCCAAAUCCGACGUAUGAGAAGUUGACCGUGUGUUGGCUAGUGUCGAUUGGGAACAGAAGUUUCCUCUAGUAACAGUCCAGGCCUUAUCCCGUGGUAUUUCCGACCACACGCCGCUUUUUGUGGACUCUGGUCAGCCCUCCCACUUGGGGAAUAAGAAUGUGUUCUCCUUUGAGAUGGCGUGGUUUGAGCGUGAAGGCUUCUUUGAUCUUGUGGCUAGAGAGUGGGCUAAGGAUUUAGGAGGCAAGACUGCGCUCCAGCGAUGGCAGAAUAAGAUCAGGCACUUAAGGAGUGUCCUACGUGGAUGGGCUAAGCAUCUUAGCGGGAUUUAUAAGGUUGAAAAGGAAAGGCUCCUCUCCUUUAUCAAGUCCCUAGAUGUAAAGGCAGAAACCACGCUUCUGCCACUAGCGGAGCUUCAAGCCAAGAUGGACACGGAAUUGAGGCUGAAGGAACUUCUUAGGGAAGAAGAGUUGAAGUGGGCGUUGCGGGCCAAGGUCCGGAGAGUAGUCCAGGGGGACGCGAACACUAAAUUUUUUCAUAUGAUUGCUAAUGGUAAGCAUCGAAAGAAGAGGAUCUUUCAGCUUGAGCAAGAUGAGGGUACAAUUGUAGGACAGGAGAACCUAAAAUUGUACAUCACUGAAUUCUAUAAGCAGUUGUUUGGUCCUCCAGACAAUAAUUGUGUGUCUCUGGAUGAGUCCAGGGUUGAGGAUGUUCCUCAGCUCACAGUUGUGGAGAAUGAUGUUCUGACGGCUCCUUUUACCGAGAAAGAGGUAUUUGAUGCCGUCUCACAAAUGAAAACUAAUAAAGCGCCUGGCCCAGAUGGAUUUCCAGCGGAGUUCUAUAAGAAAUGCUGGUUUAUUAUUAAAGGAGAUUUGUUGCCUUUGUUCCAUGAUCUGUUUGCUGGGCAGCUUCAUCUUUUUCAGCUAAAUUUUGGAACGAUCACCCUUCUUCCUAAGAAAGCAGAGGCAGUGAGAAUUGAGCAAUUCAGGCCAAUCUGUCUUCUUAAUGUUAGCUUCAAAAUUUUCACCAAGGUCGGGACCAAUAGGCUCUCACAGAUCGCGCAUGCCGUUGUGCAGCCUACCCAAACGGCUUUCAUGCCGGACAGGAACAUUCUUGAGGGUGUUGUGGUCCUACAUGAAACUCUCCAUGAAAUCCACACGAAAAAGCUGGAUGGGGUUGUUUUCAAAGUGGAUUUCGAAAAGCGUAUGACAAAGUCAAAUGGCCUUUCCUUCAACAGGCUUUACGCAUGAAGGGUUUUGAUGAGGCCUGGAAACGCCAGGUAGAAUCCUUUACGCAAAAAGGUAGUGUUGGAAUUAAAGUCAAUGAGGAUAUAGGUCAUUAUUUUCAGACACACAAAGGCCUGAGACAAGGAGAUCCAAUGUCCCCUAUAUUGUUCAACAUUGUAGUUGAUAUGUUGGCUAUUCUCAUAGGUAGGGCAAAGAACGCCGGUCAGGUAGGUGGUUUGGUGCCUAACCUAGUUGAUGGGGGUGUGUCCAUUUUGCAAUACGCUCAUGAUACAAUCAUCUUUAUGGAGCAUGACUUGGCAAAAGCGAGAAACAUGAAGCUGGUGUUGUGUUUAUUUGAACAAUUGUCCGGUUUAAAGAUUAACUUUCAUAAAAGCGAGUUGUUCUGCUUUGGUCGAGCCAAGGAGGAACAAGAGGCUUAUAGGCAAUUGUUUGGUUGUGAAUUAGGGGCUUUACCUUUUACUUACCUAGGUAUACCCAUUCAUCAUCGUAAGCUCACGAACAGAGAAUGGAAAUGUAUCGAAGAUCGGUUCGAAAAGAAACUUAGUUGUUGGAAGGGCAAACUUCUGUCUUAUGGAGGCCGGUUGAUUCUUAUUAAUUCGGUGCUCACAAGUUUGCCGAUGUUCCUACUAUCUUUCUUUGAGGUUCCAGUUGGGGUUAGGAAACGGCUGGACUUUUAUCGGUCAAGAUUUUUUUGGCAGAGUGAUGAUCUAAAAAGAAAGUAUAGACUCGCCAAGUGGGAUAUUAUUUGUCGUCCCAAGGAUCGGGGGGGUUGGGUAUUGAGAAUCUUGAGGUAAAGAACAGAUGCCUGCUUAGUAAGUGGCUAUAUAAGUUAUCAGAUGGGACUGAUGCGACUUGGGCACAGAUACUUCGUAACAAGUAUUUGCAAUCCAAAACUUUGUCACAGGUGACAAUGCGACCAACUGAUUCGCCAUUUUGGAAGGGGCUUAUGAGAGUUAAGACAGCCUUCUUUAAUAGAACAAAGUUUAUAGUCGGCGAUGGUAAUGAUACUCGCUUCUGGGAGGACACCUGGCUUGGUGAGACUCCGUUGGCGUUACAGUACCCAACUCUGUAUCGUAUUGUGCAUCGCCGUGAUGCGCUUGUGGCAACGAUUAUGCAGGCCACACCCCUUAAUAUUCAGUUUAGGAGGGUGCUUGUUGGUAAUAGAUGGGAAGCUUGGCUUCAUCUGGUGCGUAGAUUGAUGGAGGUUCAGCUACAACAUCAGCCCGAUCAGUUGUGUUGGAAGCUUACUAGGUCUGGACAUUUUACCGUUAAAUCGAUGUACAUCGAUGUUAUUAACUUGAGUGUCAUUCCUAAAUCCAAACAUGUUUGGAAAGUUAAAGUUCCUUUGAAAAUCAAAGUGUUUAUGUGGUUUGUCCAUAAACAGGUCAUUUUAACAAAGGACAACUUGGUUAAGCGCAAUUGGACAGGAUCUACUAGGUGUAGUUUCUGUGAUCGGGAUGAAACCAUUAAGCAUCUAUUCUUUGAGUGCCCGUUGGCAAAAAAAUUGUGGCGCUCAGUGCAAAUUGCUUGUAACAUUACUCCUCCGAGUUCGGUCGGGUCGUUAUUUGGAACGUGGCUGGAUGGGAUAGAGUCCGGUACAGCUAGACACAUUCGUGUAGGAGUUUGUGUGUUGUUAUGGGCAAUUUGGAACUGCAGAAAUGAUUUGGCUUUUAACAGAAUAACUACUAUUCAUUUUUUGCAGGUUGUAUUCCGAGCUACGGCGUUGAUCCGUAUGUGGUCCCUACUCACUCCGACGGAGGCCAGGGAGCGUUUGGUUACUGGAUCUGUCCGGUGGGAGAUGGUAGCGUGGGAUAUAUUCAACCGGUUUGGAUGGCGGUCAUGUAAUAGGAUUGGCAAUUAGUUUCCAUACCUAUUUUUCUGCCAGCCGGUUGUGGCUUUAUGGCUUUUUUUAUUUUCAUGUCGAGGUCUAUUUGAGCUCGACGUAGUUUUCUUUUACGACUUUUUCGACAUUGUGGAACCUAUUUUAUUUAUUUAAGUGGCCGUAUGCAUCCACCUGAUGCAGAGGCCGGGGAAUCACCCCUUUUCCAAAAAAAAAUCGUACGCACGUACAGUGAUUCCGGUUUCGGACUGGAGUCGGACUCCGUUUUCGUCUCCCUCUCCCAAACCCCCAUCAAUAAAUUGCAGCGAGAGCUCAGGAACCAACCUUCAAACCAGAAGCGACGGGAAAGAAAAGAAAAAGGCGAGAGAGACACACACACACACGAUCGAGACCCAAUUCCCAGACCCGCGAGCUCCCGGUCGCUGCUUCGUCCUCGAUCGCGUCGAUCCAUCCAUCGGCGACGUCUUGGAUCUACCAGUCGGGAUCGCCAUGAUGAAUCCGGAGAUGAUGAGGGUGGCGGAGGAGCAGAUGCGACGCAUACCCGCCGGCGACCUCUCCAGGAUGCAGCGGCAGCUCAUGUCCAACCCGGACCUGCUAAAGCUCGCAACCGAGAGCAUGAAGAACAUGACGGCCGACGACUUCAAGCUUGUCGCCGAGCACCUGAACCACGCAAGGCCAGAGGAGAUGCUCGACAUGACCGAGAAAAUCGCCAAGGCCAAGCCCGAGGAGCUCGCUGCCAUGAAGGCGCAAGCCAACGCUCGUGCCUCGUCCGCGAAGUCCGCCGCCAAGAUGCUGAAGCGGCAGGGGAACCAGUUCCAUGGCCGCGGGCAGUACGCCGACGCCGCCGCCAAGUACAAGCUCGCCAGGGACAGCGUGAAGAACAGCGUGCCGUCGGCGGCCGGGCGCGCUCUGCAGCUGCAGUGCAGCGUCAAUCUGAUGGCCUGUUACCUGAAACUAGGCGAGUUUGAGGAGUGCGUGAACGAAGGCUCGGAGGUUUUGAGCUAUGACUCGGGCACAGCCAAUGCCAAGGCGUACUACCGAAGGGGUCAGGCAUACAAAGAGCUGGGCCUUUCUUGUGCCAUUGUUUAUUCUUUCAGCAUAUGUGUUUAUAAAUUGUACUGUAACAGAUCAGAAGUAACUGGCCGAGUGUUUUGACAACUAGCAAUUGUGCGGGCAUCAAUUUUAUUAAAAGGAUUCCUUUUGAAUGUAAUGUUCUGUUUUUAGGAUAAGAAUAAAGUUAGGGUGUAACAAUCUAUAGUUUUUUUUUCGAAUCAGCAAUCUAUAGUUAUUUGAUGCUGGUACCCAUAUUUUUCUCUUUAUUAUGCUGAAGUGUUAGGGUACACCGAAAGUGUUGUUCUAAUCCAGAGCUCUAAAUCCGUCAUGUUGAUUUUGUUUUGUCAUUUUGAACACCCAUGUACAUGCGAAAUAUCUAAAUCCAUCACCAGCCUUGUAAUCCUCGUGGUACUCUUUCGUACUCUUUCGUACGUCUUCUCUAGUUUCCUCCCUCUUUGUCAACCCUUGUCGGAACAAUUUAAUAUUUUUCCACGAUAGUGUGGCUUAAUAAGCAUAGUCCAGUCAUGUAUUGAGGAUCUUGUGCCUUUUGAUUGUAACUCUAUAAAUUUUGAACAAAUUCAUAUUACCCCGCAAGGAAAAACUUGAAGUAAAGAAACAAUGGAUCCUCCACUUUGCAUUUAGGUCAGUGCUCCUACUCCGCCUUAAGCGAUGAAUGGUACAUGGGCUGGGCCGUAAAGAUUGCCCUUUCCUUUUUCAUUUAACAUAUUUUGUUUAGGAGAAAUGUGUGAAGGAUGAUUUGAAUAAUUGUAAAUAAUGUACUCCCUCCGUUCUAUAUCGUAAGACGUUUUUUGGCACUAUACUAGUGUCAAAAAACCUCUUAUAUUAUAAGACGGAGGGAGUAUUUUUUUAACAUAUUUAUAAAAAUCCCAUACAUUUUAAAAAUUCCACUUAUUUUUUAAAAAAUGGUUUUUUUUAAAAUAGUGCAUUUAGAUAAUUGUUGACUAUUUCAGAAAAAGUUCAUGUAUUUAAAAAUUAUUACGUAGAGUAUAUAUUAAAAGUGUAUGGUUUUUUUAAAUGGUUCUUGCACUGGCUUUUUUUUGUACACUUUAAAAUAAUCUUUAGGAAAUUUUCCCUCUUCAUUCACUCUGCAUAUUAGCUUGGAUUCAUCAUUGGGUAGGUGAUGAUCUCAACAUCCAUGAUGCCCAACCACGCUGUUCAUCCAAGAGUCAGCAACAAAAAUAGUAACAACUUGACAGCGAUGGUGGGCGGAUGACAAUGUGGAAGCACCGUGGGAUGAAGAUCUAGUCGAAUCUGCACCUUUCUUGUACCACUGUUAAUUCUUUCUUCAUGUUUUUAUUUAUUUAUUGAGAAAAAUAUUUUUUUCAUCAUGUGUUUGUGAUAUAUAUUUUUUAUUCUAAUUACUAACAACCACCAAGGCAAGCAGAAAAUAAAGCAUUUCAUCAUUCAAUAGCGUGACUGCCUUCAGAUUUGAAACUGUUUGGAGGAGAAUGUCAAUUCUGUUCAAUGCAGUACUCGGGUGUCAUAGCAUGAUGCCAACGCUAAAACGCUAAGUACAGUAAUAAAAACGCUAAAAUGCUAGGUUAAGUUUCCAGCCUCAGCCACCAAACUAGAGUUGUCACAUGUUCGACUGUAAUGAUUGGGUACAGUUAUCAGCGAGACAUGUCGGAUGAGAGUUAGGUAUCACGUGAUUCAAUCUUCAGGAGU